UACGAGAGGCCCAAACGUUAUUCGGAAUUACUGUGCGUAAAGCGUGCGUAGGUGGUUUGUUAAGUCUGAUGUGAAAGCCCUGGGCUCAACCUGGGAAUUGCAUUGGAUACUGGCAGGCUAGAGUGCGGUAGAGGAUGGCGGAAUUCCCGGUGUAGCAGUGAAAUGCGUAGAGAUCGGGAGGAACAUCUGUGGCGAAGGCGGCCAUCUGGACCAGCACUGACACUGAGGCACGAAAGCGUGGGGAGCAAACAGG
rnacentral:rRNA from 1 species